UAACUUUAUUGCGUUUCUUGUUUGCUUAGAGCAUCUUCUUCAACCCAAAAUCAUUUCCUUGUUUCCAAUUUUUCAAUGGAUGACCAAAUAAUGGUUGUGCUGUGCAAUAUCUCCUACCCCACAAAGCCAAAACCGCCUUAUUCAUUCAUUGAUUUCUCAGCCACAUUGUUGAUUGAUUUCUCAGUUUACUAUGUCCUUUUGUUUGUUGAUUGAUUUCUCAUUUUACUAUGUCCUUUUGUCCCAGACCAAUUUCCCAUUUCCCAUUUCCCCUAUAUAACAGAAUGCUCUCAGCUUCUCUGGGACUGAAAACAAGACCUACCCACUUCCCUACUUCCCUAGUCUUUCAAGAGAAAGUUGUCCAUGGCAGCUUGAACGGUCUGGAUUGCCUAAUUGUACUUCAGGUCAUAAUUUUACAGUCCAAAUGGUAUGAUACUCUGCAUUCAGGGCUGAAAAGCCAUUGUUGUGACUGAAUUUUGGUUGAUGGUAACCAUGAGUUUUGGGCCUAUCAAUUCCUUGUUUCUGUAGAGUCUCUAUAUCAUGAUUUUAUUCAAGGAAAUAUCAUCAUACAUGGUAGUUUCAGGGAUUUCCAACUAUAAGAGAGACUACCGAAGAGCAGUAAAGUAGAUUGAUCAGGAUUUAUAAUUAAGCUAGUGGGUGACCAGCUAACGAAAGAAGUAAAAAUUUAAAGACCAUCCACGUUCAAUGCCGGUUAUAUAUUUCAGACGGUUGCUGGAAAUUGCAGUCUAGUAGCCUCCUUGUUACUCCGAGCUUAAUCUACCAACAAUAAUGGCAGAGUUUGUUUUGUCACGGUUGACAGAGUCUGUUGUAUCUCUAGCAGUUCGAAGGCUUUCUGAACUACUCAUUCACGAAGCACCUUCUUUGACAAGUGUGGAGGGGGAUGUUGCAAGGUUGAAUGAUGAAUUGAGGUGGAUUAUUGGUUUCUUGAAAGAUGUGGAUCGAAAGCAGGAACGAAACGAGUGCUUUCGAGAGUUGGUCAUACAAGUCAGAGAUGUAGCUUAUGAUAUUAAGGAUGUGAUCGACAUCUUCAUCAUCAAAAUUUCCUCCUGCUACUUCAAAACCUUUCAACUCCAUCGAAUUCAUUCCCAGAUCAACUCCAUCCAAACCAGGCUUGAUGGCAUCUUUAGAAGCAUGCAAAUUUUUGGGCUUAAAUUUGUUGGAGAGGAGAGUGUUUCAAUGGCUGAAUUGCGGCAGAAUUUCAGAAGAUCAUAUCCAGACGAGGAUGAUGAUGUAAUAAACUUAGAGGUUGGCAUGAUGGAUUUGAAGGCUCAGUUGAUGAAGCAGGAAGAUAGGCUCUGCAUAGUUUCUAUAGCAGGAAUGGGCGGAUUAGGUAAGACCACUCUUGCCAAGAAAGUAUACAAUCUUGUUGAUGUGAAGCGUCACUUUGACUCUUGUGCCUGGGUUUUUAUAUCUCAAACGUUUGUUCCUAGAGAUGUUUUAAUAGAAAUUCUGAUGCAGGUUGAUUCCCAAUAUUGCAGAAAAAUAGAUUUAAACAGAAAUAAAUAUGUAAGAGAGAUUUCAAAAAAAAGAAAAGAUGCGAUAGAGAAUUUAAGAACUUUGAAUGUGCAUGAUUUAAUUUGUUUGCUUAAAGAUGAGUUAAAAGAGAAGAGGUAUCUUGUGGUUCUUGAUGACAUAUGGAGGAUUAAGGCUUGGGAUUACAUAAAACAUGCUUUUCCAAAGGGAAAGAAGGGAAGCAAAGUUCUCUUUACCACACGCAACAAGGAAGUAGCACUGCUUGCUGAUCCUUCAAGCACACCAAUUGAACCUCCGUUUUUGACACAUGAAGAGAGUUGGGAGCUGCUGCAGCGUAAAGCAUUUGUCCGUGAUGGUUGUCCCCCAGAAUUUGAGCAGCUGGGAAGGGAGAUGGUUAAAAAAUGUGGAGGACUACCUCUGGGAAUUGUGUUACUUGGAGGCUUCCUAAGAACGAAAGCAUCGUUGGGUGAAUGGAAGGCUGUGCAAAGUCACAUGAAUUCGUACUUGAACAAACUCCAUACACAGCAACAAUAUGAAGGAGUGAAUGAAAUAUUGGCCUUAAGCUACUAUGAUCUGCCUUAUGAAUUGAAACCAUGCUUUCUCUAUUUGGGAAAUUUCCCAGAGGACUGGGAGAUACCCAAAAAAAAAUUGAUUCGAAAGUGGAUUGCAGAGGGUUUUGUUCAAACACCAACAAAUGGAGAAGCUGCAGAGACAGUGGAAGAUGUGGCUGAGCUAUACUUGAGAGAGCUCAUUGAUAGGUGCAUGGUUCAAGUUUGCCAAAGGGAUCACACAGGAAUAGGUGUUAAAACAUGCCGUUUGCAUGACCUUAUGCGAGACUUUUGCAUGUUGAAGGCCAGAGAAGACAAUUUCUCCGAGAUUAUUCAGAAUCAUGAGAGCAGAACUGCUUCUGCUUCAUUUCAGAACUUGGCAAGUUAUUCACGUAGAUUAUCUAUCCACCAUCCCAAUGCUACUGAUUGGGUAAAACUUGUACAUCCCCAUCUUCGUUCUCUUUUACUCUUCGAAACUAUUUACAAGUUACCUUUGAGGAAUAAGAGUUUCAUAUUGCUAAGAGUCUUGGAACUUGAAUUUCCAAGACUGAGUAUUAGCAAUCAUUAUGGAUCUGAAAGCUCAAGAAAAGUUAAAGUGCCAAGAGAGAUUGGUAAUUUAAUUCAUUUGAGAUAUUUGGGUCUCAAAAAUGCUGAUGUUUACAAAUUGCCAAAUUCUAUAGGCAACCUACGAAAUUUGCUCACUUUUGAUCUUCGACAAACUUGGGUUGGGAACCUACCUCGGUCAAUAUCAAGGUUGGUACGCUUGAGACAUUUGCUAUUACCUCGACUGUGGAUGCUCAAUAGAGUUAUUAUUCCAUAUCGGACUGGAGAUUUUCAUUUUGAUAAGUUUUCAAACAUCGAGACUCUAAAGAACAUUCCAUCUGGUACUUUGAUCAGGUAUGGUGCACUGCACAAACUGACUAAUCUUCGAAAUUUGGUGAUAUUACUUGAAAGUGACAUACACCUUGUAGUGGUCCUCAAGUCACCCAUUUUUGCAUCUGGCCAACUUCGAUCCUUAAAUAUGUUAACCCCACAUCGAUUUCUGAGUUGGGAACCAAUUUCUAGCUGCAAUGUUCUCUCUAAAUUACAUUUAGAUGGGAACAUUGCUGAAGGAAUUCAUUCCAAUUGCCACCAUUUUCUGCAACAUUUUCCAGCAAGCCUUACCAAAUUGCUUUUGUCAAAUUCUAAUAUGAAGCAGGAUCCAAUGGUAGUGCUGGAGAAGCUACCAAGUCUCAGGUUUCUCAGCUUGAGCUACUUUUCGUAUAGUGGGUCUAGAAUGGUUUGCUCUGCCCAUGGCUUUCCAAUGCUGGAGACUCUUAAACUCAAAGGGUUAGAUGAAUUAGAAGAGUGGAGAGUGGAGGAAGGUGCACUUGCCAACCUCAGGGAAUUAGAUAUUCGACUUGUACAUAAAUUAAAGAUGCUUCCAGAAGGGCUGAAAUUUUUGCCUAAACUCCAGAAACUUUCUACUCAUUUUAUGAUGUUGUCCUUCCUUGACAGACUUGAAAUCAAAGAUGGAAUAGAAGGGGAAGAUUACUAUAAAGUGAGCCAUGUACCGUCUGUCUUUAUUGGACAUGGUUGGUCCUCAGCAGAAAAGGCAAGUGAGCAUUUGCAUGCGGAAGCGGUCUUAAGGAAUUUCAUGAAUUGAGGUUUAUUAAAAAACCACCUUGUUAGUUGAUUUCUCAGUUUGCUGUGUCCUAUGGUCCAAGACCCAUUUCCCAUUUCCCCUAUAUAACAGAAUGCGCUCGGCUUCUCUGCGACAUGAAAACUGGACCUUUCCACUUCCCUACUUCCCUAGUCUUUCAGGAGAAAGUCUUCCAUGGCAGCUUGAAUGGUCUGGAUAGCCAAUUGUACUUCAGGUGAGUUUACUUCUUGCAUGUCAUUAUUUCUUUACAAGAAAACUACAGUACUUCUCCCCCAGUCAAUGGGUCUAUACUUGCUUCUUCUUUCUUUUUUUUUUUUUUUUUACCCACUGGUCUAUCAUUUAAUUUGUGGAAAUUAUAUAUAAAAUAUAUAUCCAUCCUAAUAUUAUCUGAAGUAUUAUGUUUUAUAUUGCAAGUUAUAAUCUUACUGUCCAAAUGGCAUAGCACUCUGCAUUCAGGGCUGAAAAGCCAUUGUUGUGAUUGAAUUUUUGUUGCUGGUGACCAUGAGUUUUGGGCCUAUCAAUUUCUUAUUUCUGUAGAGUUUCUAUAUCAUGAUUUUAUUGAAGGAAACAUCGUACAUGGUAGUUUCUGGAUUUCAACUACAAAAGAGACUAUCAAAGAGCAGUCGAGUAGAUUGAUCAGGAUUUAUAAGUAAACCAAGAACGGUUGUGGGAAUUGCAGUCUAGCCUCCUUGUUACUCCCAGCUUAAUCUACCAACAAGAAUGGCAGAAUUUUGCAUUGUCAAAGUUGACAGAGUCUGCUGUUUCUCUAGCAGUUCAAAGACUCUCUGAACUACACAUUCACGAAGCAGCUUCUUUGACGAGUGUGGAGGGGGAUGUUGCAAAGUUGAAAGAUGAAAUGAGGUGGAUAAU